GAGAAAAAAACUUUGCCUCGACCAAAUUCCUAAUCUCUAUCCAAGCUGAUUGAACCUCCUCAACCACACCUAGAAAAUUAAUUAGAAGUGAACUGGUUAUCUGUAGAAUAGCGGGUCAGUUAUGACAUAAUGUUGCAAAAUAGUAUUCAUCAUUUGUUAUUUUUUAAUACUUGAAACCUAUGAGGAUGUAAAAAGAACACUCUUAGCCCAAGAAAUAAAAAUGUAUAUUUAUGUGAUCAACUUAUAACCUGAUAGAAGACUAGGGGUAGGGAACUAAGCUAACGAAAGAGAAAGAGAUAAGUCUGAAUUCUUCUUCUCCUUUAUUCGAUAUUUUCUUGCUAUUUAUACAUUUGAAUAUGUAACUGAAAUGUAGUGAGUUGGUUACAACAGAAUUACUCCCUUGCAACUAACUGAGCAUCAACUGCCUGAACUCUUCAAUUGAUGCUGCUGAAGUUCUGAGGCGACUUGCUGAUCUAGUGAUACAUGUGUUACACGUAGUCUCGCAACUGGACCAAUAUUCAGCUACCAGCUUAGAGAACGAGGAGUUGGUGUCCAUUAGCUUUGAAGGCUCAUCAUAUUCCACAAGUUUCCCUUUAGCAACAAGAAAAAAAAAGGUAACAGAGUGAAUUAGAGAAUAGAAGUAUUAUAUCUAAAAAGGAGGAGAAAAAUGAAAAACAUACCAUAGGAGAGGACCAUGACCAUGUCACUAUCUAUUACAGUUGGAACCCUGUGAGCCACUGUUAUAACUGUGCAUUUGGCAAAUUCUUGUCUAAUUAUUUGUUGUAGAAUGGCAUCUGUGGCAGAGUCAAUGGAUGCGGUAGCUUCAUCCAGAACUAGAAUUCUGUUCCUCUUAAGUAGUACUCUUCCAAGACAAAAUAGUUGGCGCUGUCCCAAGCUCCAAUUUCCACCUUCA